AGGAGAGGAGGGGUUACAAGCUUAGUCCCGCGGAACAUCCAGCAAACACAUCUGAGACUCGAAGCCGAACUCGAACACAGUUUCUCCUGCAGCGCGUGGUCUCUGCGUUCUUUGGAUCUCCAGAAUCCGACCCGGGACAUGGGUUCGAAUCCCCUCGCGGCUCUUCUUUCCGGCUAGUUCUAUGGACUCUGCGGCGGGUCGCGGGCCCCCGGUGCACUUGUGUGUUUAUGUUUGGACGCGCGGCGCUGGUGGGACAUCCGGAAUGGGGAACCCGUAGGAGGGAACGGACACGGAGCUCACGGCCGUGGGUGGACAGAGCGCACACGAGCCACACACGAGGAUGGACUUAAGGAAGACUAAAUAUGGAAGAUUCAUGAACUGCAGGGUCCCGGCCAGUAAGCGGUACCAGCCCACUGAUUAUGAACAUGCUGCAAACUGUGCCACACAUGGGUUGUGGAUCCUGCCCAGUCUGGUGGGCGGCUCCGUGCUCUACUUCUCCUCCACGGACCAAUGGUAUCGCGUUGCUGCCUGGCUCUACGGCAGCGGACUCACCGGCCUGUUCAUCACCUCCACGCUCUUUCACACUGCUGCAUGGAAAAUUAGCCACCUCAGGACGGUGGAGCAGCGGUUCCACAUGUGUGACCGGAUGGCCAUCUACUUCUUCAUCGCCGCCUCCUAUUCCCCCUGGUUGAUGCUGAGGGAGCUGGGGCCCUGGGCGUGCCACAUGCGCUGGCUGAUCUGGGUCAUGGCAUGUGUUGGAUCCAUGUAUGUCUUCUUUUUCCAUGAGAGGUACAAGAUCAUAGAGCUGCUGGCAUAUGUGGCCAUGGGGGUACUUCCUGCUUUGGUCAUCCUGUCCAUGGUGGAACGCGCAGGUCUGUUUGAGCUGGCCAUGGGGGGGCUCUUCUACGUGGUGGGGGUCGUCUUCUUCAAGAGCGACGGCCUGGUUCCCUUCGCCCACGCCAUCUGGCAUCUGUUUGUGGCAGCUGGAGCAGGAAUUCACUACUACGCCAUCUGGAGGUACCUGUAUUUAUCUGAGCCUCUGCUGCAGACGGCGAGAUGAGUGAUGUCAGCGCUCCGUUAGACGAGUCCGGAAACCACUGUGUUUUUUGACAACAGCUAUGCUGUUGUGAACAUUCCUUCGGAUGACGUAACGUCCUGAUGUUUCAGGAGUUUCUUCCCAGGUGGAAAUGAAACGCCUCACCGUCCGUCUGCUUCUAAUGACAUGUAAUACGCGCGAGCUGGCUAGCGAGGGCGCGUAGCGUACACUAACAUUUAACACUGCACUGCUGAGGUUGGUGGGGAGGGAGGGAAAUAUCCCAGAAUGCAAGAAAAAAAAAACUGAGCAGUUUUCAGGAUGUAAACAAAAAAUGUACAUCAAACAAUAGAACUAAAACAAUAUGUUAAAGAGCCUUUGGGCAACAUAUUUAAGUUGGUGAAGACAGGAAAUAUGAAAUAUGACCAAGUUCCAAAAGAAACAGACUAGUUUGAUGUGUUCAGUCAAUAAAAUAAAGACCAAUUAAAAAACUAGUUCCCUCAAGGUCAUGGACUGUUCACACUGGAGUCACAUCCAAAUUAUAAUGUGAAAAGAACUGAAGUAGUCUCAGUCUACAGCCUACUACAAACCACGUAUGUGCCUUACGUGCUACAAACCUCUUAAAAAAA